AGAACGAACGCUGGCGGCAUGCCUAAUACAUGCAAGUCGAACGAACACUUCGGUGUUAGUGGCGCACGGGUGCGUAACGCGUGGGAAUCUGCCCUUGGGUUCGGAAUAACAGUUGGAAACGACUGCUAAUACCGGAUGAUGACGAAAGUCCAAAGAUUUAUCGCCCAGGGAUGAGCCCGCGUAGGAUUAGCUAGUUGGUGAGGUAAAGGCUCACCAAGGCGACGAUCCUUAGCUGGUCUGAGAGGAUGAUCAGCCACACGUGGGACUGAGACACGGCCCAGACCUCCGUACGGGAGCAGCAGUAGGAAUAUUGGAC
rnacentral:rRNA from 1 species